rnacentral:rRNA from 1 species
CUGAUCGGGAAAGAUCACCGGCCGAGUUUAAGCAUAUCACUAAGCCGAGGAGAAGAAACUAACGAGGAUU